CCUGGGGAGGGGACCUUAAGAGAGCAAGGUCCAGAGACUGGGUCCCCUUGGUGGAUACAGGACUACCCUCAGGAACCCUUCACGUAGGGGCCUUGACUUGGAUCUCAGAAUAAGAAUUUCUGGAUGGGUCACGGUGACGGCUUCCUCAAUUUAUCCUGUUUCAAAGUGAUAUCUUCAAGGUAGGCAUACAGUCUAAGAUUGCUUCCACCCGAUACAGCCCCUGACGAGGAAUUUCUAGGCCACAUGUAUGAAAAUGAUUUAUUUCCUUGAAGAUGCACUGACUUCAGGGUAAAUAGGAUUGUUUAUGCUUUUGUCAGAAGUGCACAUGGAUGCGGUUUUCAUAAUAACAUUAUUCAUACAGAGCGUUCCGUGUACUUUUAUGGUGCUUGGUAUGCCAAUAGAAUUAGUGGAAACUAUAUUACUGGUGGAAUAUUUCUGUCCUUAGAUACUAAGGAAAUCAGUUUUUGUUGCUUUUUGGUUUUCUGUUUUUGGUCCUGGGGCUU